CGGCCCUGCCCCUCACUCCACGAGGCAUCCAGCGGCUCGUGGGAGCUGGAAGGCGGGGACAGUGCGGCCCUGGCAGCAGGUCAGCACCCAAAUAAAACAGCAGCACAACCCAGCAACCCUAAGAGCGGGAGCAGACUGGAAUCCUCCUGCUGGCACAAGACUACAACCCUCACAGCAGGACAAGGACAGAACCCUCAGAGGACAACAAGACCCACUGCAAAAAGGUAGGGAAGACAUCAGAGGGUUUGAGAGCAACAGCUGGGCCUUGGAGGCUGAGCAGGUUUUUCUCAAGGUUUUUCCACAACUUCUAAGGGUAUGUAAGGGAUUCUAGAAGGCUUCUCAGCACAUUCUGGGCAUUUUAGGGUAUUCUAAGGAGGUUAUAAGGGCUAUAUCAGGGGUUUUUGAAACACUUUCAGGGUGAGAAUCAGAAGGGAUACUCCCUAAAAACGCAGAGUUUUAAGACUGCAGUGGAAUACAUUUAAAAAGGGCCUGAGGUCACAGAGUGAAUUGGGAAAAAAAGUGAUGGUCUAAAGACGGUAAGUUCCAGGCCAAAUGGAGUCAUUGUGGAUAGCACCAGAUGCAGACACCUGUGUAGGAGAGGAAUCCUGCACUAUAGAAAUGAACACCCCAAAAGAACCUACAUAUAACCUGACACCAUGAACCUUGCCUGGUGAGUUUUGUUUCUCAGAGAAAAGGCCAUCGUUCGUGUCCUGAGCCUGGUGGCCCGGAGUGGCCGGCUGCCUGCUGAAAUUCAUCACCUCCCAGAUGCAAGGUGCCCCCACAGGCAGCUGUGUCUGGUUUGACAGUGCCAAGUGCCUCCUGCAAACUGACAUCAGGAACCUGGCCUGAAAAACUGGAUUAAUGGGGCUGAAUCCUGGCAGCUAGCACUGAAACCAGUAGGAACUGGUGUGGAACAUCAAGCACUAAAGCCAUACAAGAGCUGCAGCAGGUACUAAAUUAUUUACAGCUAUUUUCUAUACGAGGAAAAGUUGUAAGAUGCAAAAGGAGAUUACAAUUUUAUAUAUAACCUAUUGGACGAGUACUUCAUUGCUGUACUUUUUUGACAGGACUUAAUGAUUUUUAUACUGUCUUUGCUGAACAUUUGUUUUUUGAAUGGGGGAUCAAGGACUUCUAAUAAUAAACUGCAUUAAUUUUCCAGAAGAGUUGUUUGUGGGUAAAACCUGCAUCACACCCCUGAAAGCCAAGCAAGAACCUGGUUUAGACAAUGCAGAAUCAACAGGCCAUGAACUGCAAUUUGUUUUUAAUAUCUAUAUAAAAAAUAAUGAGCGAUUUACAGGUCUCUCUCUAGUCAGAACCUCAGAAGUCUGUAUAAAGGUGCUGUACAAUAUAUAAACAUUUACACCCAGUACAUCCAUACAUUGCGUAGCAUUCCAAAGCCACAUGGCUAAGUUUGAUGCAGGAAGUACAGAUACAAGAUCUAUGGAAGGAGAAAUCACACACAGGUAAGACAGUAUCAGGUCACAUGAACAUAUAGAAAAAUAGAGAGGAGUUGAUGGCAGGGAGAUCAUUUCAGUGGGGCUAAUUCAUCUGGAACUAAAGCACUGUAUUUUUCACUGUACUCAGUGGUCAGGCUGAGUGCACACAGCUCAACAUCAACCAACCUCUGGGGAAGAACACAGGGCAAUAUCUACACAGGCUACUUCAGAGUAUUAAAUAUUUCACAGUCAUAUUCUACCCAGGGAGUAUUUGUACGCGUUAUGCUACACAGCAACCCUGGUGUCAGUGGCUCAGCUGGUAUUGAGCAGGUGAGCACAGUUCAGAGCUGCUUUAAAGCCUUUUGAAUUCCCAAGUCUUUGUUUAAAAGCCGUUUGAGCAGUCAGCUGUAUUUGUGAAGAAUUCCACUCAGAACUGCCUCACUGUGCUUUGUUAGCCUUCAAAAACAUUUAACGUUUCAAAGCCAAAGUGAGAUAUUCACUUGCAAAGAGCAAAUCAUGUUUCUAUUUUAAGUAACUAAAGCUCAAUGAUUUACUCUUCUUUCUCCAGCAAACUGGACCAAGGGCAUCCUUUCACCACUUUUCUGCAGUCAUUAAAAAUCCCAGAUGUCAGGAAAUAAUCACUAAAACUGUGAAUAAAAUAAACCACUUUCAUUUCUGUUGUUCUUACAGCCAUAGAACUGAUGUGUCAGUAGGUUCUGGUGGUAACAUCCCUCUUUAAAACAUCUCUGCCAGCCUAAACCAUAGAUGGUGUGUCUCCGGUAUCCUGUUUGUCAUCAAUGCUUCUUGGUCACACAUGCAUAGUAAAUCGGGGAGAGUUCUAAAAUAUACAGGCAAGAACUUCACUGAAAAAGCUGUUCUGGUAGCUGAAUCUGCCCUACAGUCAGUUCUUACCUCUACAGAGGGGAAAAAACCCCAAUUCCUAACUAGCAUUAAAUAAUCAAAGAUGGGACUUCAGUAUGAGCUCCACACCGAGGCUGAAGGUGUCAUGGUGCCAUGAGUGAAACCAAAGGAAUUGUGUUAUUUAAGAGAAUCCAGAAUUUUCUUUCCUCUCACAGAUGUCUGCAACCCAAAUCCCUGUGAAUCAAGGAACUAAAGUGAUUCUGCUGUGUCAGAAAAAGCAAAAUUACAGAACUGCGUUAAAUACCAUAUUUAGCUACAGGGUUUUGUAUUAGGUAUAAAAAUUCCAGGAAACAUAUGAACUGAGCAGCAUCAACAACUCAUUUGCUGCCCUGGAACUGACAGAACCAACUCACCCGUGUUCUCCCUGACCCAGCAAGAACACAUGAGUUUUCUGGUGUAAGCAUGCAACCUGCUCUAGAGAAAACACCCACUUCAGCCCAAGCCUGCCUUUCUCUGACUGGAAUCCAUGUGGGAAGGGUUAGAUUGACUGGAUACAGUAGACAGCUUGGCACAACAACAGGAAGUGAGUCAGGAUCACAUUGGCAAUACAGGCGGUAAAUAACUUUGUUCAGAGUUCACAAUACUUGGGGAAGCUGCAGCAGUGCAACACUGCAGUGCAACAUGCAGACAUGGCCUGCAAAGGGACACGGGGACAGCAGCUCAUGGAAGGGUUUCACUGAAGCAAUCUGAAAGUCCUUCAUGGAGCUUAGCUAAUUCAAGAACAAAUCAAAUACUUUCCUCCCUCUAACCAGU